AAAUACUGAAUUAAAUCUCAGGAUAUUCUCACUUAAAGCUUUUUAUAUUUUCGCUUAAUAAAUUCAUAAGUGAGACAAUUUAUCGAGCAGCACGUAAGUCCCUUAAAUUUAAAGUUUGAAAGCUUCACUAGUAAGAUAUGAGGAAAUCCCAAACAAUUUGUAUUAAAAUCUGUGAGGAAUUGACAUGGAUGAUUCCUGAUGUCGAAAUUUAGAAAUUGAUUGCUUUAAAGUCCGCGUUUGUAAAACCUAACGUUAAACAAGCGUGAAAAUUUGUUUUGAGCGCAAGUCAAUUUUGUGCCAAGAAAUCAGCUAUUCAAUCAAAGCUGCGCGGGCUUGAUUUACCUAUCGACGCUAGCCAUAAGAUUGCGUGCCAAGUGCAGCGUAACCGGUCAAAUAAACUAAAUCUUUUUGUAAUAUAAUGUGCUCAUAAGAAGUAAUAAAAUAAUCGUUAAAAACACUUAAAUAGUCUGCGAAGAUCACGAUUUAUAGUCUGCUGUAACGUUAAAUGUCUUGAUAAUAAAAUCACGGCACCAAGAAUUUAUAAUGACGCUGCAUAUAUAAAAUCAUGUGCGGUGGAACGUCGCCACCAUUUCACUCCAGGACGCCUGCAGAAAAGUAAGUACCUAGACCAUCUUCACAUUUUUUCUUUCGCGAACAUUAAACAUCUGUUACGUGUUUAAAUUAAUUGUCAGUGGUCGAUUGAAGCCGAGAUAGUUUUUAUAAACAUUCCAGUUGCUACCUCGUUGCUAUUCUCAGUACAAGGCUAUUUGUCUUAUUUCCACCGAGCAGUCUGCUUGGAACAUCAGUGUAGCGCGUUCAUUAAAAUAUAAAAAUUCGUUGUCGCGACGAGACCUUGAAUAUACAACCGGCUACUGAUUUUGGAUUAUAAUUUAUUGCUGAAUACGUCAUUGUAACAGAACAGAUGUCACUGUUCGUGAACUAGUCGUCGCAAAACUCGCAUGACUCUCAAAAAAAAGCUCUCUUAAAAUAAUUCUGCUCAAAAAAUGAACGACACUUUAAACAACCGCUUAUAAUUUCAGAUCAGUAGCUUCCGUUCCACUGGCAAUACGUAUAUUAAGUUCACGGUUAGAAACGCUCAUUUCCAUCGGCGCCUUAUUGAUUCUGACAGUUAGUGUAAAUAGUGAUUUAUUGAUUUAAAGUGUCUGAGUGAAAUGGUGAUAUAAGUGGGGACGUUUUCAGUUUCAGAAUGAGCGACAUGAGGCGACGGGCAAACAUGUUGAAGUCUACUCAGUCCAAUAUUAUACAUGACCAGUGGAAGUGCAAAUCGGCUGAAGAGAAAAUCGAAAAGGCAAUUCACAUGAUAAAAAAUGCCACUAUCAGCAAGCCACAGACGACCGGCAAUUCUGUUCUAAAGGAGCCUAGUUAUUUUUAUAAGCCUAGAUUGUAGUUUCGUUGACACGGUAUUUGUGAUUUUUAUUCCUAAUUAAUAUAAAUGAAUAACAGAUCUCAUUAUAAA